rnacentral:lncRNA from 1 species
CGGGAGGUGACCGAGCUGCGGCUGCUGAGCCGAGCCCCGGGUUUGCGGGGCGGCUGGGGGCGGGGCUGCAGCCGCCGCCGCUGUCCCCGCCCGGUGCCUCCUGCGGGCCGCCGCCCCGGCUCGCGGCGCGCCCUCCCGAGCCUCGGAGUCCUCUCCACCUGGCGCUGUGCGAGAUACAGUGGAUUCCAAAUCCAUAGCUGUGUAAAGUUGGAGUCUCGUGAGACGAGAACAGGAAAUGAUCAGAGAAGGAAUAAAUGACAGCUCUGCUUAGAGUGUUUCUGUGAUUCAACUUGGAAUUGCAGCUGAGUCUCCUCAGUGUGUAGAAGAGGUCACAAUAAGAGGGAGAAGUCAGGUGCAACCUUGAGAUAGCCCGCAGAGAUGGGAGCAGGGAGACUCCCAG